GGAGAGUUGGCCGAGUUGGCUGAAGGCGCUCGCCUGCUAAGCGAGUAAGGGGCUGAUAGCCCCUUCGAGGGUUCGAAUCCCUCACUCUCCGCCA
rnacentral:tRNA from 1 species